GAUGAACGCUGGCGGCGUGCCUAAUACAUGCAAGUCGAGCGAACGGACGAGAAGCUUGCUUCUCUGAUGUUAGCGGCGGACGGGUGAGUAACACGUGGAUAACCUACCUAUAAGACUGGGAUAACUUCGGGAAACCGGAGCUAAUACCGGAUAAUAUUUUGAACCGCAUGGUUCAAAAGUGAAAGACGGUCUUGCUGUCACUUAUAGAUGGAUCCGCGCUGCAUUAGCUAGUUGGUAAGGUAACGGCUUACCAAGGCAACGAUGCAUAGCCGACCUGAGAGGGUGAUCGGCCACACUGGAACUGAGACACGGUCCAGACUCCUACGGGAGGCAGCAGUAGGGAAUCUUCCGCAAUGGGCGAAAGCCUGACGGAGCAACGCCGCGUGAGUGAUGAAGGUCUUCGGAUCGUAAAACUCUGUUAUUAGGGAAGAACAUAUGUGUAAGUAACUGUGCACAUCUUGACGGUACCUAAUCAGAAAGCCACGGCUAACUACGUGCCAGCAGCCGCGGUAAUACGUAGGUGGCAAGCGUUAUCCGGAAUUAUUGGGCGUAAAGCGCGCGUAGGCGGUUUUUUAAGUCUGAUGUGAAAGCCCACGGCUCANCCGUGGAGGGUCAUUGGAAACUGGAAAACUUGAGUGCAGAAGAGGAAAGUGGAAUUCCAUGUGUAGCGGUGAAAUGCGCAGAGAUAUGGAGGAACACCAGUGGCGAAGGCGACUUUCUGGUCUGUAACUGACGCUGAUGUGCGAAAGCGUGGGGAUCAAACAGGAUUAGAUACCCUGGUAGUCCACGCCGUAAACGAUGAGUGCUAAGUGUUAGGGGGUUUCCGCCCCUUAGUGCUGCAGCUAGCGCAUUAAGCACUCCGCCUGGGGAGUACGACCGCAAGGUUGAAACUCAAAGGAAUUGACGGGGACCCGCACAAGCGGUGGAGCAUGUGGUUUAAUUCGAAGCAACGCGAAGAACCUUACCAAAUCUUGACAUCCUUUGACAACUCUAGAGAUAGAGCCUUCCCCUUCGGGGGACAAAGUGACAGGUGGUGCAUGGUUGUCGUCAGCUCGUGUCGUGAGAUGUUGGGUUAAGUCCCGCAACGAGCGCAACCCUUAAGCUUAGUUGCCAUCAUUAAGUUGGGCACUCUAAGUUGACUGCCGGUGACAAACCGGAGGAAGGUGGGGAUGACGUCAAAUCAUCAUGCCCCUUAUGAUUUGGGCUACACACGUGCUACAAUGGACAAUACAAAGGGCAGCGAAACCGCGAGGUCAAGCAAAUCCCAUAAAGUUGUUCUCAGUUCGGAUUGUAGUCUGCAACUCGACUACAUGAAGCUGGAAUCGCUAGUAAUCGUAGAUCAGCAUGCUACGGUGAAUACGUUCCCGGGUCU
rnacentral:rRNA from 1 species